rnacentral:snRNA from 1 species
CAUGGGUUAGUCGAUCCUAAGAG